GUCCUUUAGAGUAGAAUUUUAGGUUUAACCUGCCCACUGAUUUAAAUUAAAUGGCCGCAGUAUAUUGACUGUGCAAAGGUAGCAUAAUCAUUAGUUUUUUAAUUAAAAGCUUGUAUGAAUGGUUGGACGAGAUAUAAUCUGUCUUUAUUUAAUUAUUAGAAUUUAAUUUUUAAGUUAAAAAGCUUAAAUAUAAUUAAAAGACGAGAAGACCCUAUAGAUCUUUAUAUUUAAUAUUAUAGUUUUUUUAAUGAUUAUUUUAUUUAUUAUAAUAUAAAAUAUUUUAUUGGGGUAAUAAGAAAAUUAAAAUAAUUUUUCUUUUAUAAUACUUUGAUAAAUGAAUUUAUGAUCCAUUGUUUAUGAUUAAAAGAUUAAGUUACCUUAGGGAUAACAGCGUAAUUUUUUUAGAGAGUUCAUAUCGAUAAAAAAGAUUGCGACCUCGAUGUUGGAUUAAAAAUUAUUUUAGGUGAAGAAGUUUAAAAAUUUGGUCUGUUCGACCAUUGAAUUUUU
rnacentral:rRNA from 1 species